rnacentral:rRNA from 1 species
UACGUAGGGGGCAAGCGUUAUCCGGAUUUACUGGGUGUAAAGGGAGCGUAGACGGCGACGCAAGUCUGGAGUGAAAGCCCGGGGCCCAACCCCGGGACUGCUUUGGAAACUGUGCUGCUGGAGUGCAGGAGAGGUAAGUGGAAUUCCUAGUGUAGCGGUGAAAUGCGUAGAUAUUAGGAGGAACACCAGUGGCGAAGGCGGCUUACUGGACUGUAACUGACGUUGAGGCUCGAAAGCGUGGGGAGCAAACAGG